rnacentral:rRNA from 1 species
AUGAAGUUCAGUUGGAAAAAUUCCAAGUUGCUACUGAGCUCUUCAAUCUCUUGGAGAAUCGGUGCAAUUUCUGAUCUUCCCUGCUCUCGACUCCUCCAGAGGUUGACUACCUCUCUCGCAUCAGUUUCUAUUGUGAUGUUGCCGAGGCCUAGAUCACAAGCCAGUUUAGUUCCAUCCCUAACAGCAAAAGCUUCCAUAAUCAAAGCAUUUUCAGCUUGCCCAUACCAUAAAGCUUGGCCUCUGAUCAAGGAUCCAGAAUGGUCACGUAGGACUAGACCCGUAGCUCCCUCAUUCGAGUUCACCUGGAUCGGAGAGGAAUGCUAG